GGCGGCGUGCUUAACACAUGCAAGUCGAACGCGAACGUUUCCUUCGGGAAACUAGUAGAGUGGCGCACGGGUGAGUAACGCGUAAGUAAUCUACCCUCGCAUCUGGGAUAACCCACCGAAAGGUGUGCUAAUACCUGAUACGUCUGGAAUUAUACUUUGAAUCCAGAGAAAGGUGGCCUCUUCAUGAAAGCUACUGUGCGGGGAGGAGCUUGCGUACCAUUAGCUAGUUGGUAGGGUAACGGCCUACCAAGGCGAUGAUGGUUAGCGGGUCUGAGAGGAUGAUCCGCCACACUGGAACUGAAACACGGACCAGACUCCUACGGGAGGCAGCAGUGAGGAAUAUUGCGCAAUGGGGCAACCCUGACGCAGCGACGCCGCGUGGAUGAUGAAGGCCUUCGGGUUGUAAAAUCCUGUCAGAUGGGAAGAAGUGCAUCAUGUUUAACACAUGUGGUGUUUGACGGUACCAUCAAAGGAAGCACCGGCUAACUCCGUG
rnacentral:rRNA from 1 species